ACAAGUCAUUCAACACAACUAACUUGUAUAUAUUCUUACUAGCUGAUGCACAUAUUACAUUGUUGCUUUGAUUCCUCAGCAUUUCUUCUUGCGCCGAGACAUUAUCCUUCAAAACCAUAGAUAGAUUGUUGUAGUUCAAGACUAGAAGUCAUCAGUGUUUUAAAGCAGUACAAGUGUAAAAGGCUUACUAGUUUAGAAUACGCAGAAGCAAGAGACCGAAGUGUUUUGUACUUAUCAAGAACAGCUAUGGCAAAGAAAGUUGCAGAGAGAAAUCCGAAUGACGGUUUAGCAAGACUCAGUACCUGCAUAAGCUGAAUGGCAAAUACAUCGCUGAUUGUCAUUUUACCAAGGUCUGGACACCUUUGGACAAAAUCAUCGUAAGAAGGACACGAGUCCGCAACUUUCCUCUGGUCAUCAUUCACCAGCGACUUGUAGUAUUGGUAUAUCGAUUUAGUGAGAUAACCGUAUUUUCUUAGCGUCUCACCCAGUCCGUUUGUUCUCACCACAUCAAACCCUUCCAAUAUCUCCGUAGUGAAACAACUAAAGCAUAUAGAUGAAAACAAAUU
rnacentral:sRNA from 1 species